rnacentral:rRNA from 1 species
GUAGUCAACCUAACUUGAAGACGUGAACAAUCCCGGGAAACUGGGGCUAAUUCACGAUAGAUUCAGGGUUCUGGAAUGGCCUUGAGUCCAAAAGGCUGGAGGAGCAUGCUUCUUCAGUCGCUUCAAGAUGGGACUGCGGCCGAUCAGGUUGUUGGCGGGGUAAUGGCCCACCAAGCCUAUAACCGGUGCGGGCUCUGAGAGGAGGAGCCCGGAGAUGGACACUGAGACAAGGGUCCAGGCCCUACGGGGCGCAGCAGGCGCGAAACCUUCACAAUGCGCGAAAGCGCGAUGAGGCUAUACCGAGUGUCACCCGCUGAGGGUGACUUUUCCUUGAUGCAAAAAAUCAGGGGAAUAAGGGGAGGGCAAGCCUGGUGUCAGCCGCCGCGGUAAUACCAGCUCCCCGAGUGGUCGGGACGAUUAUUGGGCCUAAAGCAUCCGUAGCCGGCUUCACAGGUCUCUUGUUAAAUCCAACGGCUCAACCGUUGGACUGCAGGAGAUACCAUGGAGCUAGGGGGCGGGAGAGGCGGACGGUACUCCAUGGGUAGGGGUAAAAUCCUUUGAUCCAUGGAAGACCACCAGUGGCGAAGGCGGUCCGCUAGAACGCGCCCGACGGUGAGGGAUGAAAGCUGGGGGAGUGAACCGGAUUAGAUACCCGGGUAGUCCCAGCUGUAAACGAUGCAGGCUAGGUGAUAGGAAGGCUAUACGCCUCCCUAGUGCCGCAGGGAAGCCGAUAAGCCUGCCGCCUGGGGAGUACGGCCGCAAGGCUGAAACUUAAAGGAAUUGGCAGGGGAGCACCACAAGGGGUGAAGCCUGCGGUUCAAAUGGAGUCAACGCCG